AUUGAACGCUGGCGGCAUGCCUUACACAUGCAAGUCGAACGGUAACAGGUCUUCGGAUGCUGACGAGUGGCGAACGGGUGAGUAAUACAUCGGAACGUGCCUAGUAGUGGGGGAUAACUACUCGAAAGAGUGGCUAAUACCGCAUGAGAUCUACGGAUGAAAGCAGGGGAUCGCAAGACCUUGUGCUACUAGAGCGGCCGAUGGCAGAUUAGGUAGUUGGUGGGAUAAAAGCUUACCAAGCCGACGAACUGGAGCUGGUCUGAGAGGACGGUCAGCCACACUGGGACUAAGAAACGGCCCAGACUCCUACGGGAGGCAGCAGUGGGGAAUUUUGGACAAUGGGCGCAAGCCUGAUCCAGCAAUGCCGCGUGCAGGAUGAAGUCCUUCGGGUUGUAAACUGCUUUUGUACGGAACGAAAAGCCCCGGGUUAAUACCCUGGGGUCAUGACGGUACCGUAAGAAUAAGCACCGGCUAACUACGUGCCAGCAGCCGCCGUAA
rnacentral:rRNA from 1 species